rnacentral:rRNA from 1 species
AUUGAACGCUAGCGGCAUGCCUAACACAUGCAAGUCGAGCGGCAGCGCGUCCGACCACCCUCGGGUGGUCGGAUGGCGGCGAGCGGCGGACGGGUGAGGAAUGCAUCGGAAUCUGCCUCGUUGUGGGGGGAUAACGUAGGGAAACUUACGCUAAUACCGCAUACGACCUACGGGUGAAAGUGGGGGACCUUCGGGCCUCACGCGAUGAGAUGAGCCGAUGCCGGAUUAGCUAGUUGGCGGGGUAAAGGCCCACCAAGGCGACGAUCCGUAGCUGGUCUGAGAGGAUGAUCAGCCACACUGGAACUGAGACACGGUCCAGACUCCUACGGGAGGCAGCAGUGGGGAAUAUUGGACAAUGGGGGGCAACCCUGAUCCAGCCAUGCCGCGUGUGUGAAGAAGGCCU